CUACUCUUCCUCCAGGCUGGGAACAUUGCCCCCUUGUAGUGCCUGAACCUCAGCUGAGUCGGGUGGCAGCCUCCCAUUUGUUAAAUGCUACAUGAGGUGACUGGAGCUUCUCUGCCCGUCGCUGAGAGGACAGAUGGAGAGGCCAUGGAAUGUUCUGGAGAGCCGAUGGUAAUUACAAGCCAGUAGCAGAGCCGGUGGCUUCCGGAGGGAACAAGCCUGAGCGGAAGCGCUCGAGUGGCAUGGGGGGUUGUUUGCCCUUUGGCUGCUCAGCAUGCUGUUGCUCUGCGCUGAGCUCAUGUUGGGACUGCCGCCGCGGCACAUUUCUCCGCUCUUCACGUCAGUGAGGUAUUUCCAUGCGGUUGGGUGAUGAAGAGCAGGUGGCCUCAUUUGCAGAGAGCAUUUCCUCAGAAGCAGCACCUUCACUGCCUCCUCUUCCUCCACGUGGCUGUUGGGCAGGCGAGGGCGAUUGCGUUCCCCUCCCGCGCCGUGCCGCCUGUCCGCCUGUGGGACCUGCUCCGUGGGCUUUUCAUCAGCUGCCAUUUUCACCAGCAUGCAGUAAUUUCAUGGCUCAUUGCAAGCGCUGAAAACCUUUGAAACUGCAAAUGUUAACUUUUGCCUGGCCCGGAGCCAUUUAGAAAGCGAUUAAUUCGGCAAACAGACGUGAGCCACUUUCUCCUCCCAAGUUUUCGCAUAAUUUUCCAACCCUUUCUAUCUGGGAUUUGCAUUGCAGGGAACUUGCAGGACAAGGAUAAUAACCAUUCCUGUUAAUUGUGGUUUGGUGAAGAAACAAGGCCAGUCGCUCGCCAGUCUGAUCUGCCCGGCUGUCCCAAUCCAGUCCAAGCUGGAAGAAUGAACAGAGAAAACUGUGUACAAAACAUUCUGAAGUUCUGGAUGGCAUGAAGGUUAAUGUGGCUGGGUUCCAAAAUCAUCGUGCCUGAGACCACACAGAUGGGGAUGAGAUAAAACUUCUAAACCUAACAGCAUGGGUGGAUGAGGUGUUGUGCAGAGAAGAAAGACAUGGAGAAGAAACCACAACCAAACUUCAUCAGUUCUCGCAUG